rfam:Triticum urartu cultivar G1812 contig981707, whole genome shotgun sequence.
GAGGUACCUCCAUCCGAAAAUACUUGUCAUCAAAAUAGAUAAAAGAAAAUGUAUUUAGAUGUAUUUUAGUUUUAGAUACAUUCUUUUUUGUCCAUUUUGAUGACAAAUAUUUUCGAACAAAAGAAGUAUUUG